ensembl:lncRNA
GUUGGGCUUGUUAAAAAGACCUCUUGAGAUAAGUCCACUUUGGUUGUGAGUCGAAGCGACACUGCACGUUUUCUGAUUAUUUAUUUGCUCCCUACAGUCUCACUCAAAGGUUUACUCUUUAAGGCGCAGCAGGAAUAAUGCAGAUAGAAGCUCUGAAAGCUACACAUGGCCCUCCAGACACUACUCAGGACCAUAAACCCACCUGCACCUUGUUAUGUUAUGUUAAUGGGAAACAAUCUUACACUUUGGGUUUUACUUAACAAUUGUCAAUGCAUACCUACUGUAUAUAUUAAAAAUCAGAUCAGACAUUAUAUUCUAAGGGAGAUUGUAUGAAGUCUGUAUAAUGUAAUUAAAGGAUAAUCAGACACAGCAGCUUACAUGGUCUUACUUCAUCUUUUAUUAGACAUUGUCAUGCAAAGCAUCAUAGCCAAUUUCAUGAAAACAUCCUCUUUAUGAGUAUUUAACAGCUGUUGAAGAGCCAGUGACUGUCUCUCACGGAUGUGCAACAUGUGGGCUUUUUAGUCUCCUUUCAUCACUCAAACAUCUUAAUUCACCAACCACAACUGACAGCGCUUUCAUUUCCUUUUCCACGGCCCGCCCCCAAACACGCACGCCGCUUGUCGUGUCCCACCCCGCCUCCGGCUGUAUCCGCGCCGGAGCCGUUGUCGGGGUUUUUGCUCCAUCUGAAGCGUAAUCGAAUCCUUCCCCCUUGUAGCAUUGAGGCCACAGCAACACGGAGGUUCCUAAGCACAUCAGAAACCUCGCACAUGAGUCCGUGCCUUGUCUCAGUGACAUGGUUUACCAUGAUCCAGUGUUUGUCUCCGGGAAAAGGUCUCGGCGAUUACACGGAGGGGGUGUAGCCCCCGGAGGCACAGUUCCUCAUUUGGAGGUGUCUCUCAUGAACACACUCGGAUGCUGGAACACGCGGUCAGCAGAGGUAGGCUACCGUUGUCACUGUGUAUCCUCUUCCAACCACUCAUUCCCUUCCACCAGGCUGCUUCGUGUCUCGGGCCGAAGGUCCGGCCGAUUUAGGCACCCCCGCCUCCCCCGAGCCAACCCUGUGCCAUAUGCAAUGGCACACGAGGGAUUAAAAGAUAAAUUAAGUCCUCAGUAAGACACAGAGAAGGACGAGCCGGAAACACUCUUACACAAACCCCCCCCGGCCCCCACACCCCUCCGUGCCGCGUCUGAAUGGUGUCUUCCAGCCAGCAAUAAUACUGUCCUGCUCCUCGUAAAGUCUGCUGGGGAUUAUCGUCUUUCAAAAUGUAAAACACUGACGUUUGUUCGUGCGCUCUACUGCUUCUGAUUUGCAGGCUUGUUACUUAAAAAUCACAAAGCGCUGUCUUGUGGGAUCAAAGUGCAGCGUUUUUAUAAAAAGGCCCAGUCAGAGGGACCUGAAUAAGUGCCCAGUUAACUCCCAUCGAUGGUGUGAACAUGCAUUCCAUUUGUUCUGAUUAUUGCUUCCUCUACAGCAAACCUUAUAGAACCCGAGAGCUGCAAUUCUUUCCCCCACAUGACGAGACGUAGACCUCUCUGGUGUCGUGAUCGACAUCUUCAGCGGCAAGCCUACAGAAACAGUUUUUCCACUUUUAUUGUGAGGAGGUUGACUGUACAAUUUAGGAGCUUUGUCCAUAAUGCGAUGUUUUGAUCAAACAGUGUUUCACCUUUAAGUUGCGUUGAAGACGAAUACAUUCAAGGGACUAAAAUGAAAAGGAAAUUAAGAUUUUUUUUUUUCUCCUUAAUUAUGGCUGGAAAGUCAUUUUUUAGGUAUGAAGUUUUAGACCUUGGAUAUUCCAGGUAGCUUUUAUCCAAGUUUAUAUUAAAGCUCGACGCACCGGCUUGUUUGUCACAUCAAACCAUCCCAAAAGCCGUCAAACUGUUUUAAAAAUGCUGAAACCUUGAGAAAAAUACCAGGCAGGUAACUGGAUAAAACAUCGGUCAAACUGUUGCCAAGGCCAUGAGAGAAAACAUCUUUUCAGUGGAAAAACACCUUUAGUGUUGACUUGAACUCUCCCACUUGCUGCGGAGAACGAUGAUCGGUCCGAACGAGUGUGGUCCCGACACGUACGCAUGACUUGACGCCUGAUAAGAUGCAUUUUCGUGUGAUCUUGUGGCUCUGUGAUUAUUACAAGAAAAGAAACAACUGCAGUGCGUGGCCAUUUGUUCAACUUUGCAAUAGCUGCUAAGGUCAUUGUUUAUAUUGUCAAAACAGUUAACAUUUACAGUAUAUAUAUUUUUUUACCUGUGAUUUUAGAGAUGAUGUUUGGGUGAUUUCAACAGUUCAUUCUUCAGGAUUUCAAAUUUUACUGCUAAUUAAAGAAAAUGUGCGCAAUAUGAACCCUAACGUUUCACUAUUUACAAUGAAACGUGCUGAUGCAAAGUGGUAUCUGUCAGUGGAGCACGGUGACCUGGGUGAAGUGGUGAAGUGGCUCACGUGGCUAUUUAGCGAACACCCAUACAUUGAUCUGCGGAAAUCAGUCCCUCCAUCGUUUCUUCCCAGAAGUGUCUCAACCUUCACAGGACGCACUAAUGACGGACUUAAGCCAGUCAUCUGUCUCUGCCCUGCCUGAUGGCCAUGGGGCACAGCGGGAGGCGUGUGUGUGUGUGUGUGUGUGUGUGCGUGUGUGCGUGUGUGUGUGUCAGUGGGUUACAGUAAUGUGGCUGGAGAGCACGGGGAAAGUGACAGAUGGUGACAGAGUUAUGGGGGAAAGGAUUGUGUGUCACUGGGUUGGCGUGGUGGGGGAAAAGGGGUUGGGGGGGGGGGGCGUGCCAGUAUUAAUGUGUGUGCCUGUUUGUGGGAUUAGUGUGUUUGUAUGUUCAUAUAAACUGUAAAUAUGUGCCUGUUAGCGUGUGUGCCGUGGAGGGAUCCGUGCCACUGAAAGGCUCUUAGACCGUACACGCGGCCGCACGUCUCUCUCAUCAUCCUCCAGGCUCUCGUCCACGCUCUCUUCCCUCCUUCGGGACGCCUUUUUUUUUUCUGGGACACCUUGGGGCAACAACCCCUCAUCCCCCCACCAUCGCCAUGAAGUGGCUGGCGUCCGUGCGCUCCAUGUUAGCCGGGGGCAGCCGUAGUGCCCCCGCCACCCCGGCUGCCAGCCCCACUAUGUCCUCCAAGGCAGACCAGCACGCCAAGCAGGUAAGCUGGAAGGACCUGAGCUCAGAGCGUCUUCUGUCCGCUUCUUAGUCCGUCUGCUUUCUUGAGGGAUUCCCAAUCCACUCUUUACGCAGUUUUUGUGAUCCUCUCCGGGCGUGUAGUCUCGUCGUUGAUUGCCUGUAGUGAUUUUUACAAUCCGUCUAAUUGCACUUUCGAUCAGAGGAGAAGGAGUGCUGCGCUGAGCGGAAGAAGCAGUGCUUCGGUGUGUUAGCGUGUGCAUGUGACCUGCUCAAAAUCAACGAGCAGCAAGCAGCGAGUUUAUUUUUCUUGGACGUCCUGCUUCCCCUUUGCUUCCAGUAAACCUGAGUCAGUGCUUCACCGUGCUAUUGUGUGGAAAGAGCUGCAACCCUUUCCUCCUGCUGCAAACCUCCCAUUAUAUCCAAGCAUAAUCCAAAUAAUCAGCUCUGUGUUCUCAAGGCCGGCUCAUGAAUCCACGGAUAUACUGUUGGGAAGGAAGUGCGCAGCAAUGUUGGGGAAUAAUGGCUCGUCGUGUGUGCGUGUGUUUGUGUGGGGCCGCAGUAGUGGUAUUAAUCCCUCACAAUGACCCCAUGCUGCACUGAUCCUGCAACUAUCCAACAUCCCUGCGAGUCCCCUGCUGCCUGAUCCUUUUACUUAAGCCCACACUCAAAUCUGAAAAUGCUGCAGAGUCACUGCACACCGAUGAGUGACGCCUAAACAUUGUCCUUUCUAAACUUUGAAUAGGUCUUGUUCCUAAUGCGCCUACAAUUACAGCUAUUUGAAAGCCGCUUCGGUCCACUGUGUGUCCACAGUGUUCAGUUCAUUUGGUGCAGCCUGAUCCAAGCCGGAUGACACUAAUGUCUGACUGAAGAAUGUUUGUGGUUCGUUAGUCUCAUACUUUGGACAUCAACAUCUGGAGCAUUCACACCUUUUAUUUGUCCCUCCAAAGUGGGCACAGAAGUGGUAGGGUGGUUUGUUGCGAUAAAGCAGAUAUUUGAAUUGUGGAGGAGCGAGCCAAGUCCUUCUGCAAUGAGCCCAGGGACUCGCUGCAACGGCUUGGGAACGGCUAAAAGAAGCUCUCAAACUGACUUUGCCCGUGGAUUGCUCCUUUUCACCGCGGCUUCCGUGGUUAGCUGGCACUCGCUCGUGUUGAAAAUGUUCAGACUACCCAGCGGAGUGAUUACUUCCUCGUCCGUGGACCAGCAAGAUUUUGGUGUGUGUGUGUGUGUGUGUGGGUGGGGGGGGGGGUCACGGAGUCAGAACUUUUCCUUUCCAGCCUAAUAGCAGAUAAUGAGGGCUGAGCAGUAUUGAAUCACCUCAUAUUUACGGCGGGAAUGUCUCUGACCGAGGCUCGGUGAUUGAUGACCGGGUAGCGCCCAAUCAUCCAGUGACCGGGGCUGGGAUGGCGUGUCUUUUCUCAAACAACCGCAGACGGUGACAGAGGGUAGUCAAGAGAGUGCCAGGUACAAACUGAAGCAUUUCCUGUCCACAACUUAGCUGUUAAACUCAUUCUCCCCAGAUGCAUUUGUUUAGAAUCACAAGCAUCAGCAACUAGGAUAAAGUAGAAGAGAGGAGAAGAAAACAAGGCUCAUCUUCUAGAGCGACAGAGGGGAGAGAGAAAAAAAGAUGUAGGUGAGAAAUGAAGAAAGGACACAAACCAAUGACUUUGCGUUGCCCCUUUGAUUCUUUUAUCAGACCGCUGGCAGAUAAGAGGGGAAGUCCCCAACAGCUGCGUGAUGACCAGAGCAGGCGAUGAUGAACCAUGAAUGACUCACAGCUAUUAGCACCUCAGCGUAUUCCUCCUCCCAUCCUUCUCCUCAGGCCUCUCGGAUCAAUACGGUAGCACCUCGUAAUGGUUGUAAGUGGCUGUUGCACUUUAUUCCUCAAGGGCAUGUGCUACUUGACCCCUACGGUUAAAUGUGCCUAUUUUCUUUGCCUAUUAAUACCAAAUGGCUAUCAUUACUCUGUCCUGCUAACUUUUUAAUGGAAUAUGAAAUAUGCAAACUAGAAAUGUUUCUUUGGACGAGCCAGAUUUCAGGGGUACAGGAAUUCUUUGCACUAUAGUGGCAUGAAGAGGCCUGCACGAGUAAAGCUGACUUUGAUUCACUUCAGGGACUUCUACUGUUACUGUCUGCCAUUAGAUGAGCAUCAGAUGGACGUGUGUAGCCAACCAUUGGAAGGGCAACAUGUCUUAUCAUGUCACUGCUUGCUGAACUAAUGCUUCCAUUGUGUCUGUUCAGACAGACCAGGGGUCAGUGACCUCCCCCGCUCUGCCUCUCUCUCACAACUAGUAGCUGCUUCUGCGCCCCAUCGCUCCAUCUGCCGUCUCGAUUCUCCCUGCCCUCACCCGCUUGCUCUUCCUUCCCACCUCUUGUGAAUAGUGAAUGGGAAAAAGGGUAACAUUAAAGGCUAUAUAAUGCCACACUAACAUUCAUUUGGGACCAAAUUUUAACAGGUCGGAGGUUCGUCGUGCUCUGUGAAUCCAUUGACUUUCACAGACUUUCCAUCUCAGUCUGCCUCAAGUGUGACUUCAUCUCUCUUUCUGGAUGUGAAGUGACUGUGCUGGCCCUGUCAAGCCCCAUUGACUUACCUAUUAACCUCUCUCUUUUUCUCUUUACGUCUAGCAUCCCCUCCUCUUUAAUUUCCUCCUGCUAUUCUUUCUCUCCCUCCAUCGCUUAGUCUCAAGAUCCGUCUCUCACUCUCGUCACGGCUGUGUGGUGUCACUCUUUCUCCUCUUCUCCGCCUCCCUCUUCUCCACUCAGUGCUGCUGGUGUGACUACUACUUAUUGGCUAAAGGAGGCAAAGGCGUGUGAGCGCUUAUAGAUACACACUCAUUAUAUAGGAUUUUGGAAAAACAUAAUACAUGGUUAGACAUGUAUUUAGUUUAAAUGACAAUUAAUGAUACAAAUUAAUUUAAUCAGAGGAAUGAACAUUGAGAGAGGUUUCGACAUUUGUUGUUACGGUUCUGCUGGUAGACGUCAAUCCAUGGUCUCUCUCCUUCGUGCACUCUCUUUUCAGGCUUAAAAAUUCAUCAAAAACUUGACAGGUCCCAUCCCACAUAUAGAGUGUCUGCUUGUGAGAGGCAUAUGAGAAGACGGAGCGAGGCGGAAUGGGCGUGAGAGUGGGGGUCAGGGGGCGUUACGCAGUGUGUUAUUUCUGGGAUAAUCCCACGCUGGGAGCCUGUCAGUGAGCCGCCCGGGUGCGGUAUCUCCCACCCUUCCCGAUUGGUGGAGCGGUGGACUUUCGGCUGUUCCUCACAUCCGCCUCUGACUGCUGAAUCAUAUCUCUCUCCUCCACAUUCUCCUCCUGCACAGACCUUAGUGUGCCCCUCACCUUGGAAGACUUUCUACCUCUCUGUUAGCUCUCUUUUCUUCCCCCCACAUUGGUCUUCAAGAGUUGAAGUGAGACGUUUCUCUUAACUGCUUCUCAAACUUCCUGAAGAGUUUGAAAGAAGUUUCUUCAUUCAAACUAAUUUCCAUAGUUUGGGCUGCCAUCUGUUAUUUUAGUUAGAAUUACAUCACAUGGGUUGUGAUUACAUUACAAAUACAAAGAGACACUCAUAACGAUAUCAAACCAACCCCCAAUUUACUGGAAGAAACAAAAUGACUACCCAACCCAGCUGUAAACUUCUUCUCCUGCACGAGUGAGAUAUUAAAUGCAGUACCUUGUAACACAUUGUAGUGACCCUGUUGAGUAAGUGUGUGUGUUUGGUCCAUGGGUCACGCCCCCUCCCUUCCCCCCUCCCAAUCACGGGGAGUCACUUGACGUGCCAGGGAGGGGGCGGCCAGUCAUUCGGGGACAUCAGGGGAGGCAUGUGUUCAUCUGUUUUGGGCUAGUCAGCUAGUCAAGUUGGUUAGGAGAGUUCCGGUUAGUUAGAUGUGAGGACAGCAAACCAAAAACCGAUAACGACCAUUCGUCUCUGCGUCGUGAGUGAGACGCUAUUAUAUCAUUUGCGAAUCAGAAAUACCUUGAAAUGUGCUCAGCUGAACUCAUCAGCCGGUGAAACCAGUCCGCUAAAACUAGCACCCUGGCUAGCUAGCUAGCACAUGUUUCGGUCCAAAGGCGCAUUCAUAAGUUCGCGACCUAAGAAGACACUACUUGAUCCCACCUCAAUUUUGACUCUUUUCUUAUUUUCUGAGGAAAAUUAAUUUCUGCCCCUUUUAUGUUUUAGCUUUAAAAUGACUAAAACGUCUCACACCAUCGCAAACCUAAAAAGAAGCCAAACUAUUCCCAGCAGUCAGCUCGAGUCCAACCACAAAUGCCACACUUCUUUCUAGGGGGAGUUUGCCGGUGCAGACAGGUUCUAUUCAAACGGCAUGCUGUGUUUUCUCGUGGGACGUACGUACACUCUGUCCCGUGAUAGCUGGCUGACUGAGUCAGUCAGUCAAAAAUACAAAAAUAAAACUCAAGCUGUAAUAAACUGUAAUUGUCCUUUAAUUUUGCAGCAUGUAAUUAUAUCGCAAGGCGCUCUGAGGGAGCCUGUGUUCUGAACCUUCAGGAUGUCAAGGAAGCUGAAAGGCUGGACUUUCUCUAUCAAACACAGGUUUGACCUUGUAUAAAGACCAAAACACAGAGCGGCGUUGUCAGAAUUAUAUAGCAGUUGGCCAAAUGGUUAUUAUAAGAUACGCCACAGAACAAGAGGAAUCACCCUCAGCUUUGUCUCUUGCUCUGACAGAAUUGCUCAGCAGUGAAAAUCUGAACUGUCUGUCAUCUAAAACCAGGUUUAUAGUUUUAUUGACGCCUAAUCCAAAUCCCCUCAGCGACCUUUGACCUUGCCUAUUGGGAGGCGCUCCAGAUCACGGUGGAAGCUUGGCAAACAUGUUUAUUGGCUCCCCUGGGAAUGACACAAUCCCUGAGUAGAUAUUUAAAUGAUCCCCAACACUUGCUUCUGGUGCCCAGCCACAUCAUUUGCCUGUCAGAGAACAUAUAUUCCAAACGUUUGGGAAGAAGAACCUAGAUUCAGGAGCCAAACCACGGCAACACACACUUACAGUAUGCUCACACAGACACACACACACACACACACACACUCCUCAUGCACGCAGUAAUGACUUUCACGGCUGAGUGAUUGAUACGUUUUAAAAGCAACACGUCGUUCUUUGACCAUCCAAAGUGAAAUAACAGAAAAGACGGACAGAGGCGGUGAGACACAGAAAAGGUCAUCUCUCCCUCCCCAUCAGUCAGCUGUAAUUUGUAAUUACUUUGCUCAGAGCAACGGAAAAAAUAAACAUAAUUUAGAUUGUAUUUGAAUUGUAAAUGAACGAAGGACAGAAGGACAAAAUUACUCUCUAAUCAAUUUUUUGGCUCGUUAGCCUCGAAGCAGAGUCCUGUGACUAGAUCAGAAAUAAGCAGCGUAACUGCUGUAAUCACCAAUUUGGCAUGCUGGAGGAUAGACGACAUAUAUGAUGUCUUUUUAUUUUUCCCUCUUCAUGCGAACGGCUUCCAAUUCCAAAGGCACCCAGCUGAGACUAAUCCAUUGGCUGUCUCCUGUCUGCAGCGCAUGCCCCUUCCUGGGACAUGGCAGUAGACUCGGCACGAACAUCUGGGAUAGUUUCAUUUGAUAUUUUCCAUCUUAUCCAUUUGCUAAAUGAAUAUCCGAGCAGGUCUUUUCAGCUCAAUGACGGUGAUGCAGUGAGAGGAGGUUGACUUUCCCACAGGUUUCCAUUUACAUCAAUAAUUUUAAAAUAUUGUUUAUUUUAAACAAGGUCCAGAGUUCAGUACAUAAGGAUUUCAGACUGAACGCCUCUGGUCCACAUGUGUUUAAAAAGAUUCAUCCAAGCAUUUCUUUAAUAUUUCUAUGAACCAUGUCUGCUUUUCCUCUAUGGUGUUUUCAGCCAAUUCCUCCCCGUAGUUAUCGCCAAUGUCUCCUUUUAUAUAUCUAUAUUUAUAUUUUUUUAAUAAUGACAUGACAUCUGACAAUUUCAUUGCAGUGCACAAUGAAUACAGAGAGCAAGCUCAUGCACUUAUGAACAUCAUUUGUAACAAUCUGAGCAAAAAAGAUGAUAAUUUUCCCUUCCAGCAUACUCAGUGAUACUGACACAUGUCAGCCAUUAUAGUAAUAAUAAUAGUAAAUAAUGAGGUUUAUACCCAUCUGAGUAAAUCCUGUGAUUAACUUUAUCUAAUGCGACACUACAAAACAUUUGUCCUUCAUGUCAUUGAGUCCUAAAGUUCUACGCGUCAGUCCUUUCUAACUGCUGACCUCUCAAUAAUUGACCUGGUUUGAAGGACAAUGAUGUCCGAUGAUGGUUUCAACGGACUUCCUAAGGAUUCUUUGUGCAUGGCUGGCAAAUUUGACUUUUUCUUUCUGGCCUUUAUAGAUAACGGAUUUAAAAAAAAAACCUUGCCUCUAAUCCAAGUUGUAGGAACAUCCCAAGGGCUCCACUCGUCUUUAUAGACUAAAGAUGGAUGUGUAUCCUUUUUACAUUUUCCUCAUUGUGGAAAUGAGGAACCAUUUCCUCAAUGGUUCAGCCAUACCCAUCACCCUCGUAGACGAGAACAUUGGCAAGACAGGGGGAAAGGAAUCUGAUUUACUCAAUACUGCAUUGUAGGGACGCUGCCAGACUCAACCCGCUCAGGUAAACACAAUCAGUAGGAAUUUAAUCUCCCUAAACUAGGUGAUUUGCUAAAUUGUUCUACGGGGCGAGUGAGAUGAGGGAAUGAAUGAAUAAAGAGGUCAUACCAGGAUGCUCAGAAGGUUCCUUCAUCCUGCCGACGCACUCAGCGACCUUCACCCGUUCACCACAGCUAUUUGUCUACACGUCAGCCUCUAAGAGCCAGCUAUUACCAUAAUGAGUAGUGUGGUCUCGACCCGUUUGUGCAAAUAUUCGGAAACCCAUGGCCCGCCCCGCUUCAGGCCCGUAGCGUCCGCCCGUCUCCUCCUCAUCUCGGUCUGCGAGGCCUUGAAAUGACGGCUCCAGUGGCUAUUAGCCAUGAGAAGGGGGUGGAGAGGGGGGGGUUCCCUCACCGUCCUCGCCGCGAGCGCUUCGCCAAACCUGACCCUUCUCACCACCUGACCGUGGCCGCGGAAAGAAUAUAUCUUGGGGCAUGAAGAAAAACAGCGUCCCAAAAAAAACACCCCAAUAGAGGAAAUAGAAAUGCAGCUUUAAUCACAGCUGGUGUGUCAACAUGCAGUGGUCCACAGUUUGCUCCAGUAAGCUGCUUAAUGACAAACUGCAUUAUCCGGCUUAUUGUUACUCAUUCACCGCGCUCUGUUUUUCUAUUUCUUUACUAUUCUUAAUUCUGAUUGACGGCUAACAACUUUGCCAGAUAUUUCUUCCACCUUUCCCGCCUUCAGCUUCUCCAUCAAGCUUUGCUUGUGUUUUCUAAUUGUCCUCUGACUUGUGGAGUUUAUUUGUUUUCUGUCCCUGAACAGAAAGGCUAUGUUCCAACCUCUGCCUUCCUGGCCCUCAAUGUACAAUCAGAGUUAUUUGGUUUUUCACUUGCUGGGGGGGUGCAAUGCUUCAGCCUCAGCUUGCUGCCCAUACUGCGAUGUUGUCACUCCUUUCAGGCCUUGUUUUUAGCAAAUAUCUUGUAAUCACUUCUAUCUAUCUAGAGAAAUCAAUAGAUAUAGAGCAGUGAGGUAAUCUGCUCCUGCAGUAGGUCUGCCUCUGAGAAAUAUUUGUAGAGGUAAAAUCAGCUCUUUAACGCUAGUUAUAUCACAAUUUACUACGGUCGUGGUGAAUGUUUGUCUCUCCUAAUACAACAAUGGGAGACUAUGACUCUGAGCUUCUGGACCUGCAAGUCUGCCUUCACUUCCACCAGCACCACUCUGUGCAUGUGAAGGCUUCGCUGAGAGUCAGUAAGGACUUCCUCAGGCCAUGUGGAAUCCAAGCCUAUAGUUAGUGAUGCACACAUGUGAAUGCAUGUCAUCUAAUAACUGAGGCUGUAGGAAACUCUAGCACCCGACUGUGACAUACCAGCACCCGCCGUCAUUUCUGGAAAACUCUUUCCUCCAGUAGACAGAAGCUGAGAAGUGAGAGGAGCGAGCCCGCUGCUCGUCCGCAGUUUGCCAUCCGGGGCCGGUCUUGGCCGAGCGAGCCGUUUCAUGCAUUCAUGCAUUCUUCUUUGAGACCUUCAAAGAGGCAGAUAGAGAUCAAUGGCUUUUCUGACAGCAUCUCAAAGAUAAACAGAGAGAUAGAGCAGACCGACGCUGGCAGGCAGGUUGCUUUCAGUCUCAUUGAUUAGUCAAGCCUGGAGCCGGGGCAGUUAAAACUGAGAAGGAGGUUGGUUCUGUUCCACAGGACGGAGUGAGGAGCUUGCAUCCUUGCAAGAAUUUAACGCUAUUUCAUUUUUGUGCUACAAGAUUGUGCAAGGUUGUUAAUGUAUGGGCUGCGACAGUGUGCAGGCUUACCCUACCCAGCCAACCCUAACCCAACCCUCACCCUGACCCGACCCCCCCGUCUAGCUCAUCUGACUGGCUCAUGUCUACACGGCUGCAAAGUGAUCUGCUGACUCUUGACCUGGCCCUGGUCCGCUGGUGUUGAGAGAGCGUGUGCUUUUGGUCUGUGAAGAGAACGGGAGAGUGAUUUGUUCCUUGGGACGGCCCAACUGUCGCAUCAAUCAGUCUACAAGCGGGCAACACUUAUUUAUUUAUCUGCCCGACUGCUGCAGAGCUGUUUCCACUGCCGUCAGCAGCCGUCAGAGUUUACUGGCAGGGCAAUAAAAGCAUGUGAAACAAUUAGUCAAAGUCUGAACGUUGAAGUCCCCUUGUUGCAAAAAGCAGUCUGAUUGGGUAGAAGUCUAUGAGAACAUUACUCUCUCUAUGCCACUCCUCCUCACCCGCUUUGGUUCCCUGGUUGCAAAAAAGCCCAAACAUCAAACCCAAGGCUUCAAAAUGGCAGUCUCAAAAAAAAGAAGAAAAAAAAGUGACAUCCCGCUGACAUCCCAGGGUGCCAAACAACUUGCACUGCGUCUGACUAUUAAGUAAUCCUAGGCAUAACCUUCUCGUCUGCACUUGAACUUCCAGCAUACAGAUGUUGGUACAGAAGAUGCUAGCAGCUGGACUUAGCUAGAGCUAGCUUUGUGUUUUUAUUCAAGGAACCAAAAAAGAGCUUUCUCCCCAGCUUUCCAUACAACUAGAGAAAAAAACAUUUUGAUAAAUAAAUAAAUAGUUGAUGUUGAAAUUGAGUUGUAUCUCCCUUAAAGAGUUGCUUGACACAGACGACAAAGUAAAAAAGUUAAAGAGCAUUGCAUUAUCUAGCAGCUAACCCGGUCACUAUUUCAUAUUGCACUUCAAGUGUAUUUACGGCUAAGUGUAACACUGCUCACAAUCCUGCAGCAAGUGUAAAGUCUGGCCACCCCGCUCCAGGACACACACACACACACACACACACACACACACAAACAUCUGCACACUCUCUUCAGACUGGCAGUUUGUCCAAACACAGCAUCAAGAGGGGUAGGGAGCCAUAGAUCGAGCUCCUCCAGGCCUUUUAUAGCCCUCUGCACACGCGCCACUGCCCACCCACUGACGAUGAAGUGUCAAAGUGGGCGGCAUCACACACUGGGUCCCAUCAGGCCCAGAGAGGCACAUUAACUCUCCUGACCAGACUGUGUGGGGCUUGGCAGCCUGUGGCAGUCUGCCUAGGCACAGAGUUGGGAGUAGAAGACCUUAAUUGGACAAUACACAUGUGGUGGCGAGGGGUGGGUGGAGGGGGGCUUCACCGGCUGGAUUGUUGGCCGUUGGCCUCCGUCAGCCCCCGGUUUUCAUCGAGUGAUUUGAGCAUGAAUGGCCAGCCAGUGGUCAGCUACAUAUAGAGCUCUUUAAUAUAGUGUGCAGGCAGCCACAGAAAGGUCCAAAGCCUCAUCCUCACUGCUCUGCACCAGGCAGGAAGUUGCUGGUCCUCACAGAAGUAUCAAGGCGAGGUAAAGAUAUCAAUGACUUACUUGUUGCAGCUGUCACCAAUAACCCGAGGAUACGGUUUGCUUCCGGUGGAGAGUGAAAUGAAACUUUCCUGCGUGCAGACUGGGCAACAGAAACAGCUGGCAGCUCAACAGCAGGUCGGAGAGCUUGUCGUCAGCUGCCUAUUAUCAACAUAGGCGGCACUCAUAAAGGCCUAUAGGAAUCCAGAUGGUCUGUGUAUGUAACAAUACAUUCCUUUGGUUCCUGUCACGGUGUGGUUCACUUCCUGUUGUAUUUUGUAGUUUUCUGCCACUCGUGUCCCCGGGUAACUUCACUUCCUGUCUUGUCCCGUCAUCCCCUGUGAUCGUCUAAUAGUUUCCACCUGUGUCCAAUCACCUGCACCUCACUUUGCACGACUCUCCAAUUGCUGCAUACCGCCAGAUAUAACAAUUUAAGAGAUGGCUAAUCCGAGGGGCAGUACACAGUAAUUUGAUUACCUGGUACUGGAAAUCUGAGCAAUCGUGUGUGUACGAUGCUGACAAAUUGUAGUGGAAUCCGGCGAUAAUUAGAGCUCUGGUUGGAGGAACGCGGAGCGCCGUUAAGCUGUCAGCGGCUGCCAUCAAACACGGGGGGGAACACAGAGAAGAGCCUCACGUGUAAACACGCCGGCUAGUUGCCUCAGAUUCACACACACACACACACACAGGAGUAAACAGUCUUUAGAGAGCACUAUAUUCUUGUUUAAUCCCUCAUGGUUUGAUUACACUAGAGCGGGUUCUAUCUCUUGCACCCACACAACAUAUACACACAUACAUACACACAGAGUAAGCAAUGCUGGCUUGUCUUUUAGUUCUCCCUUGUGCUCUGCGCACACACUACGCAUUUUGCACCAUCUCACUGAUGGAUGGAGACGACACCUGAGGAGGAAGAUAAGCGGCAGAGGGUGCAAGCGGAGAUGUCGCUGCGGUUGAUGUUAUAUUAACCACCUUUCUCUACAAGCAAACAUUGUCAACUCUAGGUUUGGCGCACAGGUUGUCACGUUAGGCCACAUGGAUUAUGUAACCCUAACACAAAGCAGUUGUGUCACGGUGUGGUUUUAUUUCUUGUCUUAUUUUGUAGUUUUCUGCUUCUUGUCUCCCUGAGUAACUUCACUUCCUGCCUUGUCCUGUCAUCGUCUGUGAUUGUCUGAUUGUUUCCACCUGUGUCCAAUCACCUGCACCUCCCUAGUGUAUUUAAGCCGCGUGCGUCUCCUGUCACUUGUCGCGUCAUUUUUUGUCGUCCUGGAUGUUCCUCGUUCCUGUCUGCCUUUUUUUGCCCGUUGGCCUGUUACUUUGUUGGAGUUUUUGACUAUUAUAGUCUGCGUUUGAGUCCUGCAUCCCUGACCAGCUGAGCCACGCAGACCCAGAGGAGACCUGUACAAACCCAAACUGCUGUAAUAUCAUUACUGAAAUGAUGAUCCUCUAGUCAGCCUGAGAAAAAUGUAAUUAAUGAGGAAUUAAGAUCCAGUGUCUUUGUAAGAAAACAAACUAAUGUAAAGCAGUACAUUAAACAGGAAGGGUGCAUAAGCCCCGCCUGCUUCAACACGCCGCCAGUCAACAGGAUGAGCAGCCGACGCAGAAGACUCCCAUCUUGUCACGCAGACGCGCACACAAACACACAAACACUUGAUCACGGGUUGACGCUCUUCCUGCUAACGGCAGCUCAGCCCACCAUAAAUCAAAACAGAGCUGAGACGCCCGCCGGCUGCACUUUUUUCUUAGAAGCUUAUGCAAGACUGUGUGUAGUUUACAAGGCAGCGGAAAUGUGUUAGAGGUGUCCUUAACAAGGUGCCGCUACAGACUAUGUACUAUAUAUAUAUAUAUAUGUAUGUAUGUAAUAACACGUUAAUUGAUGAAAUAACGUGGCGGAGAUUAACGCAAUAAAAUACUUGAACACACAGUCAAAGCAAACUUGGUUUACUUUUGGUGUGCGUUGACCCCUGACCCCUCAAACUGUCACGUGUCUGUCAGUUCGAUCGGAGAGACCAAGACUUCCAUUGGAAGUAAAAACAGAGGUGCAACAAACUGCAGAGAAAUUUCUCCACGUGUCAAACAGAAAGGGGAUGAGAGGCGAACGGAUCACUUUAGGACUGAUAGUGCCCAGAGGAUGUUAGUAGCUACUUCCAUCUCAACAUCUACCCUGCACGGAACACAGUCUGCAGAGGACCACCACUGUGUCCCCAAAAUACAGUGGCUUGGCUAAAUGUGGGGAGAUUGUUGGCACUUGAAACACAGCCGUCAAAUGAUGGAGAGUAGAGAACACAGCAAAGUGCCCGAGGACCCAUUAGAGAGCUGGUUCAAGAUGUUCCACCCUGUGGAAUUCUGCUUUGGAGAUGAUCAAAUGUGUGGAGUUUUGUGUUACAUUGUAUUGUAACAUUAAAGGGUGUCGAAAAUGCACACUUCGUAGUGAUUAGUAGUUCAUUUAUAAGAUUUAGGGACAACUUCAAAAUGUGAGAUGAAUUAAUGAAUUAUUUUUUAUUUAUAUGGAUAGCAACAGAUGAUACCAAUUUGUGGUCAUCAGAUGAGCGAACAACAACCUCUCACUCUGCAGCCCACGGGGGGAGGCAGGUUAAAAGCUGUGCCUUAACACACAUCUGAAAGUAAUGAGGCUUAAGCUGGCUACUAACGAGCACUUGUCUGUUGUAUGGAAAGUGUUUAUAAGUUCCAAAGCCGCUGCUUUGGUUUGUAUUAUGAAGCUGUUAUUAUUAUGACUGUAGUGAUUAUGAGAUAUGGAAGCAGUCGUCCUGCAGCUGAGGAUGAGUUCCAUUAUAUCGUAUACGACACUUUAAUUGAAUGAUGUAUUGUACUGACUGGUUUUAAUGCACAUAGGUUUUUAUCGUUGGACCUUCUGUGACUCUUUCUGUGACAUUUGCUCUCAACGGAGAGGUGGUGAGAUAUCUUCCUGCCGGUUGAAGCAGAGUUUCUGACUGUGACCUUUUGAAGUUACAUACAGGUAUUAAACGUUUUGACGUGAGCCUCUGAAUUGGUCUUGUCUUUAUAUCAUAAUGCCUGUGAGCAGGAGUCCGUUGGGAAGAAGUGGACAGCUGUCUGGCUGUAGAAGCCAGCAGUGAUUUGGACAGGACUAGUUCUCGUCUGUGGGGAUUGAUGGUGGAUUGGGACGCUCCGGUAUUUUGGGGCGGAGCCAGUGUACAUUUUGAUAGAUCAAUGCGCACUACCAGCUAACUGUCGAAUUGAUCCACAUGCAAUAAUAGGCCAAUGGGCCAUUUGGUGCAGAAAUAUUUGUUUCUAAGAUAAUGAUAAAUCCUGGAUACUGUUAGAUAAACGUGUAGAGGAGAUUUAAAGGGGCAGUUUGGGGUUUUAGAAGUAGGCUUGUAUGUACUACAUAUCUGAAUUGGAGCUCCAGUUUGGACAAACGGGCAUUAGUUCCGACUCAAGACCAAAAGGGCAAAGCUCCUCUGCUGUGGACGGCACCUACAAGUCUAUGUAAUCUGUCUCUUUGAGUCGGCUAUAUUUUUAUAUGUAACUGAGCUGUAAGGGGAACUUCUAUUUACACUCCAAGACCGCAUAGUUAUCAAUCCCACUGCAUGUCUUGGCCAGCACAGAGGCAGAGACGAUGGAUUGGGGUUGAGAACUAACCUUCAGUAGUCGGGAACAAGAUAAGUCACCGGUACUGGAAAAUAAUGUCCAACACUCAAAUCAUAAUAACAGUAUGGAUAAGUUUCACUUGUAGAAUGACAAUAUAUUGUGAAUAUAGUAUGUACUUAAUCUUUGACAGACUUUUCCACAGCAUUACAUUGCUUUAUUCCCAUGCUGUGGUUACUUGUUUAAGUUGAGUAGGUUGAGGCAUGAGAAGUCAGACUGGUUAGUUUAGGAUGAGUAAGCCGAGCUGAGUCAGAGUCAUAAUGUAAUUCAAGUUGUUAAAGAGGUUCCUGUCCCCAUCAGUCAGAUUGGUUUGAUGCCUUCAGUAAAUAUGAAUUACGUUAUUAAAAUAGAUGAGCUCUACAGAGAGAGGAAUAGCCUGGGCACAAUUACAUGAAAACGUCAUUGUGUUCUGACCCCUGACCCCUCUCAAAACGUCUCAAUGGAAUGGUCAGCUUUGUUUCAUUUUCAACUGCACAGCUCACCCAAACGUAAGGACAACUCCACGUUGCCUCUCCUGCUUGUUGUUUUGAGCAAAGACUUCCAUUCAGCUCUUGAGGAUUUUAUUAACUCCAGCUGUGAAAUCCAAGAUUUCCAGAGGACACCAGUGUUUCACAGAGGGGAAACGUCAAGGUCCUAAAUGGGAUUGAUUGACGCCGACGGGAGUUAAAGUCUCUGGCCUUUGAGUUUUUGUCAAGUGUAAAAGUGCAGGAGAAGAAAGCUCUGACGGCAGAGACUAUAAAGUGAUGUAUCGUGAUGGAGAGGUGAGCUGGCUGUAGGAGCUGCUUAAAACGUGAUCCUCGAACUGCUCCCUGUACGGUAGAUCCUCUCUCUGUAAUUUGAAAACAUGUCACUGAUGAACUGGAGAGAUGUUCCAAGCAUCACGCCGCGUGCAAGCUGCGGUGAAAAUGGUGUACUGCCACCGCCAUGUCGUCCCUCAUUUCUCUUCUAUAUCAUUUCAUCCUCCUGUCAUAGAACAGGAAUGAAGUGUUUUUGUUUUUUUACUCCUCCGACACAAUGGGAUGGAAAUCUAAACGACUCUCGACACUCCCCAACAUUCUUGCUAUGAUUCUUGAUCCAAGUUCCGAGCCCAGAAGUAGCGCAUUACUUUCACCUGGAACACGAGCCGGGCGACUUUGCUAUCAAAAAGAGCUAGAUGGAGCGACACAAUAGGGAAAAUAUCAAAUGAUAGGGAGCUAUUGCAGUGGAAAGUGAGGGAGUUGGAAAAAGGUUCGGCGGGGAAAUAAGUGCUGAAAUACUUUAGAGAGUAACAAUACCAAAGGCAACAUACGUUUACCAAUGACUGAGUAAGUGGAUGUGGGAAUAAUCCAGAGAGACAAAGCAGAUAGAAGCCAUGAAUACAUGAUGGAGGAACUGUGAAUGUUGAGCUUUGUGUUACAGCCAUUUGGAAUGGUGUUAUCAAUUAUCACUACCACUCCAACUCCGUUAGUUUACACUCACUAGUUUCAUCUGAUUCAUCAGGAAAUGUAAGACAUGUUUUUCUGAAUGACAAUGUAAACUUUCGAUACUCCAGGUACAUUUUGCAACAAAUAUUUGUACUUUAAAGUGAUCACCGGCCUUGAUUUCACUGCCCUGGGACACUUGAGGUCAAAGUGGGCAGUAGGUUGCCCCUUACCUAAAGCAGAUGAGCCUAGUCUUUUCCUAGGUGAACUGAUCAUGGGGCGGCCCGGUGUGUUUGGGGUGAAUGUGUGUUGUUGGCAUGGGUGAUUGAGCGCAGAGAAGUGAAAGGUUGACUGAGGGGCCGGAAUCUAUCUGUAGAUUCUGAGCCAAGUUGAGGAUGAAAGUGAGUGCAUGUUUAUGUCGGCCCGGGUCCCGCUUGACGUACGGUAAUGGCACAUGCCUGAGCUCACAGAGCCGCCGCGCACGCCUCCAAAGGAUGCCGCACCUCUUUGUUGUGUGUGUGUGUCAGCGCGAGCGCGUGUUUGUUUUCCAUGUUGCCUGACGUGCGGUUGACUGAUAGCAUUCAGAGCGCUGACGGGUGCGUGACUAUCUAGGGGGGUCUAGAUUUAGUGUGUGUGUGUGUGUACGGAAGGUGUUUGACCCUCUCUUAUCUCCAGCACCCCAGUGUGUUUGUUUUCACAGCUACAACACAACCUCAGUGCUGACGUCAUGUGACCCUAGGUGGUAUCUUUCACAUAAACCAAACACACACACACACAAACACAUAGCGGUGCAGGUUACCAAGCAUCCUACCGCCUGGAACAGAUAAUAAACAAAUGACAUUAAUGGUUCCAUUCUAACUGAGGAAACAUGUUUUGUUUUCCAUCCAAACCGCAGAACACGAGCAUCACUAAAGUCAACUAGGUGGACACUACUUAUCUGUCAAUUAAAUCAACUCAUCGAUGAGUCGACACCAUAGUGUGGGUCCUCGUGGAGUGAGACUUCCUUUGGUCAAGACAGUCUUAUACUGGGGGGGGGGGGUCACCAAUAAAACAAGCUCUGUUGCGAUUGUUAUAACAGUACUUUAUUACAUAAACGGCUCUGUUUGAGUACUCAUGACAACGGUUCAAAACACAUAUCAAAAUGACCCCUGGUGUGUACAGGUGUACUCGGCCACCUUCUGCAGUGCAUUAUCAUCUCAUAAGUGGAGCCCUUAACAAGUGUGUCAACCCCCGGCUUCCAUCCCUCCCUCCCCAAAUGCCACCUCCACCUUCUGCCUCCACUCGGCUGGACAGCACUGCCUCUCCUCCACAUGUUUAGUGGUGGUUUAUCCGGAAACACAGGGAAACUUUGCUGCGCAGCUGUAACAGGAAUAGACACAGGAGCUUUCAUUUUAGUUGCGGUCUUUUCAUGUUUGUGCCAAAACAAGGAUGAUCAGACGUUACCUUCAGGUUGAAAUGCUCGGGUUGAGCUAUAUGUUGUUACACAUUUCAUAGUUUUUAAUUUAAGAUUUUAACAGCAGGGUUUCCUUUAGGUUUAGUUUGCCGUGGUGUGUUACAUGUCUUGCAUACUCCGUUUCGAUCUGGACUCGACAAGGUGGUCUUGACUGAACCGCCACUGAUGGCUUUGCAAUCUGGCUGCAAAAUAUUCUGAAAUAUUAAUCAAAGAGCUUUUCAGCAGAGGCAUCAUCACCGGCAGAUAUCAGAGCUUAAGAUGACCGGACAUUUGGAAGCGAGAGGGUUUUCUUCUUGAGCCCGCUCUGAGGUUCAACGGUGAGCUGUUUGGUCCCUGCGGACCCCGUGGGCAGCGACUCUCGUCGGAGGUUGGACCCUCGCCAAAUGGCGCUGGGGUUCGUGCGGCUCGGCAGGCAGCAGGAGUCGAGGAUGGACUCGCGCCAAUUUAUUCACGUGGUAUCCUGUUGUUUUAGGCCAGUCAUGAUAGCUCCUGGUGCGUGAUUGAAAACAUGCUGGAGCAGCUAUUCUGGGUCCGGGGGAGGCAGCGUGCCUAUUAAGGCAAUUGACUGUCAGAGGCAUUGAGGCAGUAUAAAAGAGAGUAGAGGAGGAAGCAGCGGCGUGUAAAGGAAUCAUGUCCCACUCAACUGAUUUCUCAGAAGAACUUAUUAGGCUGAGCUUUUAGUGUAAGUCAAACUCUGCUGCAAAGCCAGAAGGGGUGACACAGUAGGCCUCAUGAAGGGAGUAACGCUGAAGCUGAAACCCCAGGGUUUUUUGCUUUUGACUUUCCCCUUUUUAUUAGACAAUGCCGUGUUAAAAAGUUCCGGUUUGCCGUGACACUGCAAUGUCCCCCUCUGACUCCAGCACAUCCCUAACCUGAACCAGAUGGGACCCUUCGAUAUAAAACUUUAAAACUCACUCCCUUUUAUGUAAAAGAAGGGGGGAGGAAAGGGGCUGCUACAUCUAAUACUGUGUCCGGUUAAUUCAGUCCAAAUGCGGUAUGUCUCAUCUGUCUCUUACUAACCAACAAAGUGUUCGAUAGAAAAUAUGUAGUUUCCAAUAGCAUUGUACAGCUGUGGUCUUUGAACACAUCCUCACUCGCACAUUUCUAUCUGCACGCAUUAACUCUCUACUUUUUGUCUUGCUGAAACCAACUGAGAAAUUCCCAAAUAAAAAAGCCGCAAUAGGCUUGAUAUUCAUGAUGUCUAAAAGUUGUGGUUCUGAUGUUUGUGAAGGAUCCUGUCAGCCUCCUGCUCUCCACAUCAGUGAUGUGCAUUGGACACCAAUGCAGCCUCUGGUGGUUGUUCUGAAAAAGAACAGCCUCACAGGCCCACAGUUUUGUGGCCAGUAGUUGUAACUCUGUUGUAACUUUCCUCUCGCUUCACUAUUUCUACUUUGGUUCAAUCAAGAUCUUUCAUAUACUUUGACCAACCAUUAAGAAUAUAUCAACUUGUAGUUCUGAGCAUGCCUUUAUCCAAGCAUUCAGACAGUUGUGAUCUACUUGACCACCAAACACAUUCUGACCAACACAAUGAAGUCAGAGCAGCAGUGGUCCCCAACGUUUUUUGCCUCACGGACAAGUUUUGUGUCAUAUGUUCAUAUUUUGCUGACCGGCCUACAAGGAGUGGCGGAUAAACAAGACGACAUAAAAAGAUACAUUCAGCAUGAUAACACACAUAUAUAUAUAACGCAGAGUAGGCUUGGGGAUAUAAUUACCUUGCGCAUUAAACCCAUAUUUUUAGCUUUUCCCCUUUCCAGAGAGGCUAUCACAAGAUGGGUUUUUUUGCACUAACUUGUGGGCUUAUCUUGCAGUAGUUAUCGGGUGAUCGAUAUAAGUAUUUUGAAAUGUGUCAAGAGGGAUGCUCUUUCAGGGACAAGAUUUCGCAUCUACCAGGUGCGCUUCUUCUUCACCAGGUGAUCAGAUGGUUCACUAACACUGAGAUCUGUAGGUGUUAUCUGGUCUUCGUCUUUGGAACCGGUUUUCACUGAUGAAUCCUAUUAUAUCAUAUUGUAGUCUAAUAUAGUCUCAUAGUCUCAUCUAAUCAUAGACCCUUCUGUCACUUUUCUCUUUUCCCAAAAUGUACACAGUAUUUCUUGUGAGCGUGAAGUGACAGUGAGUCACUUUCCUUUUAGACUUUUUAGACUUCUGCCACCUCCUGAAGAGUAAAUGAUUCACCAUUCUGCAUACUGAACCAAAAUGGAUGUUUAAGAGGAUAUUUUCAUUCCCUGUUUCCAUUUUGGAAGAAUGGAGGGAGAGUUGGUGUGAGAGAGACCGAGUGCAGCCACUACAAAUAACGCUCAGCAGUAGAAACCAGUUGAGCAACUCGCGAUCUCCUACCGGAUUUACUUUUUUUUCCCUCCACUUCCUUCUCACAAAGACUUUCCAUCAGCUGUUUGCGCUGGAAUUCCAGGAUUUUUUCUUAAUUAAACCACUCAAACGUUUCAGGUUUUUUUUUUGGGGGGGGGGGGGUUCUUAAUUUUCCCCCCACCUCACAUUGCCACUGUUUCUCUCAUGAGAUGAAAAGAAAACUAAGACGAGAUAGGGAGAGGGGGGAGAGAGAUAGACACGCUCCGGUCUGAGCCAUCAGGGCCGUGGCGUUCUACCUUCCAGAGGAGUUCACGCCCCCUUGGUGCUUUUGGCUGACUUUGUGGUAGUUUGAAAGAGAGAAGGAAAGGGAGGGAGGAGUGCUGCUUGUGGGAGGAGAAGGAGGAGGGAGUGAACUGGAGGGAGGAGAAGCUCUCUCACUUUUUGCUCACUGUAGGCUACAGAAUAAGCUCAGUUGCUCUCCUCUCAAUCCGAGAGGAGACUGCUGUUUUUUCUUCUCCUUCUUGUUCCUGCCCCUCCUGUGCUAGACAUCAGACGGGGUCACCACAGAACUGUCUGCCCUUCCCUACUUUUCCGUACCC